rnacentral:rRNA from 1 species
CUUUAAUGGAGAGUUUGAUCCUGGCUCAGGACGAACGCUGGCGGCGUGCCUAAUACAUGCAAGUCGAGCGGGGUUGUUGUAGAAGCUUGCUUCUACAAC